GUACAGUCCAGAGAACUUGGCAGAGAUGCCUUGGUGCCUUCGGGACCUCUGAGACAGGUGCUGCAUGGCUGUCGUCAGCUCGUGUUGUGAAAUGUUGGGUUAAGUCCCGNAACGAGCGCAACCCCUAUCCUUUGUUGCCAGCGAUUCGGUCGGGAACUCAAAGGAGACUGCCGGUGAUAAACCGGAGGAAGGUGGGGAUGACGUCAAGUCAUCAUGGCCCUUACGAGUAGGGCUACACACGUGCUACAAUGGCGCAUACAAAGAGAAGCGACCUCGCGAGAGCAAGCGGACCUCAUAAAGUGCGUCGUAGUCCGGAUCGGAGUCUGCAACUCGACUCCGUGAAGUCGGAAUCGCUAGUAAUCGUAGAUCAGAAUGCUACGGUGAAUACGUUCCCGGGCCUUGUACACACCGCCCGUCACACCAUGGGAGUGGGUUGCAAAAGAAGUAGAUAGCUUAACCUUCGGGGAGGGCGUUUACCACUUUGUGAUUCAUGACUGGGGUGAAGUCGUAACAAGGUAGGCGUAGCGAG
rnacentral:rRNA from 1 species